UCAGGUAGUAGUAUAUAGUGAGUCAUAUCUACAGGUAGGGUCAGUCAGGUAGUAGUAUAUAGUGAGUCAUAUCUCCAGGUAGGGUCAGUCAGGUAGUAGUAUAUAGUGAGUCAUAUCUACAGGUAGGGUCAGUCAGGUAGUAGUAUAUAGUGAGUCAUAUCUACAGGUAGGGUCAGUCAGGUAGUAGUAUACAGUGAGUCAUAUCUACAGGUAGGGUCAGUCAGGUAGUAGUAUAUAGUGAGUCAUAUCUCCAGGUAGGGUCAGUCAGGUAGUAGUAUACAGUGAGUCAUAUCUACAGGUAGGGUCAGUCAGGUAGUAGUAUAUAGUGAGUCAUAUCUACAGGAUCAGUCAGGUAGUAGUAUACAGUGAGUCAUAUCUACAGGUAGGGUCAGUCAGGUAGUAGUAUAUAGUGAGUCAUAUCUACAGGAUCAGUCAGGUAGUAGUAUACAGUGAGUCAUAUCUACAGGUAGGGUCAGUCAGGUAGUAGUAUAUAGUGAGUCAUAUCUACAGGUAGG